rnacentral:rRNA from 1 species
CUGGCUCAGGACGAACGCUGGCGGCGUGCCUAAUACAUGCAAGUCGAACGGUCUUUCUAUGGAAGCUUGCUUCCACUGAGAAGAUAGUGGCGAACGGGUGAGUAACACGUGGGUAACCUGCCCAUAAGAGGGGGGAUAACAUCCGGAAACGGGUGCUAAUACCGCAUAGUUUUCUUGAUCGCAUGAUUGAGAAAGGAAAGACGGCCUUUGUGCUGUCGCUUAUGGAUGGACCCGCGGCGUAUUAGUUAGUUGGUGAGGUAACGGCUCACCAAGACGAUGAUACGUAGCCGACCUGAGAGGGUGAUCGGCCACAUUGGGACUGAGACACGGCCCAAACUCCUACGGGAGGCAGCAGUAGGGAAUCUUCCGCAACGGACGAAAGUCUGACGGAGCAACGCCGCGUGAGUGAAAGAAGGUUUUCGGAUCGUAAAACUCUGUUGUCAGAGAAGAACAAGUUGGAGAGUAACUGCUCCAGCCUUGACGGUAUCUGACCAGAAAGCCACGGCUAACUACGUGCCAGCCGCCGC